rnacentral:rRNA from 1 species
GAGUUUGAUCGUGGCUCAGGAUGAACGCUAGCGGCAGGCCUAACACAUGCAAGUCGAGGGGUAACAGGGGAGCUUGCUCCCGCUGACGCCCGGCGCACGGGUGAGUAACACGUAUGCAACCUACCUUUAACUGGGGGAUAGCUUCGAGAAAUCGGAAUUAAUACCCCAUAAUAUUCAUUAAUCACAUGGUUUUUGAAUUAAAGCUCCGGCGGUUAAAGAUGGGCAUGCGGGUCAUUAGUUUGUUGGUGAGGUAACGGCUCACCAAGACUGCGAUGACUAUGGGGUCUUAAAGGAUGGUCCCACACACUGGUACUGAGACACGGACCAGACUCCUACGGGAGGCAGCAGUGAGGAAUAUUGGUCAAUGGACGCAAGUCUGAACCAGCCAUGCUGCGUGCAGGAUGACGGCUCUACGAGUUGUAAACUGCUUUUAUACGGGAAGAAACUUCUCUCCGUGUAGGGAACUGACUGUACCGUAAGAAUAAGGAUCGGCUAACUCCGUGCCAGCAGCCGCGGUAAUACGGAGGAUCCAAGCGUUAUCCGGAUUUAUUAGGUUUAAAGGGUUCGUAGGCGGAGUAUUAAGUCAGUGGUGAAAUCCUGCAGCUUAACUGUAGAACUGCCAUUGAAACUGGUACCCUUGAGUAUAGUUGAGGUAGGCGGAACGUGUUAUGUAGCGGUGAAAUGCAUAGAUAUAACACAGAACACCGAUUGCGUAGGCAGCUUACUAAACUAUCACUGACGCUAAGGAACGAAAG